rnacentral:rRNA from 1 species
GACGAACGCUGGCGGCGUGCCUAAUACAUGCAAGUCGAGCGAAGGUUUUCUGGUGCUUGCACCGGAAAAACUUAGCGGCGCACGGGUGAGUAACACGUAAAGAACCUGCCUCAUAGACUGGGACAACUAUUGGAAACGAUAUCUAAUACCGGAUAACUGCAUUACCUGCAUGGUUGAUGUUUAAAAGUUGGUUUUGCUAACACUAUGAGAUGGCUUUGCGGUGCAUUAGCUAGUUGGUGGGGUAAAGGCCUACCAAGGCGACGAUGCAUAGCCGACCUGAGAGGGUGAUCGGCCACACUGGAACUGAGACACGGACCAGACUCCUACGGGAGGCAGCAGUAGGGAAUCGUGAGCAAUGGGCGAAAGCCUGACGGAGCAACGCCGCGUGAGUGAAGAAGGACUUCGGAUCGUAAAACUCUGUUAUUAGGGAAGAACAUAUGUGUAAGAAACUGUGCACAGAGUGACGGUACCUAAUCAGAAAGCCACGGCUAACUACGUG